AGUGUGGCCGAGCGGUUGAAGGCACCGGUCUUGAAAACCGGCGACCCGAAAGGGUUCCAGAGUUCGAAUCUCUGCGCUUCCGCCA
rnacentral:tRNA from 1 species